CCAAAGACCAAAGAACCAGGAACUCUGAUGUCUGGGGGCAGUAAAGACAGAUGCCCCAGCUCAAGAAGAGAGGAGAGAAUUUUCCCUUCCUCUGCCUUUCUAUUCUAUUCAGGCCACCAGUGGAUUAGAGGGUGCCUGUCCAAACUGGUGAUGGCUUUAGAGUGGAGAUGGGUAGGAGAAAAGCGUCUUAGGAAUCGAUGUC
rnacentral:lncRNA from 1 species